rnacentral:rRNA from 1 species
AGAGUUUGAUCAUGGCUCAGAGCGAACGCUGGCGGCAGGCCUAAUACAUGCAAGUCGAACGGCUCUUCGGAGCAGUGGCGGACGGGUGAGUAACGCGUGGGAACGUGCCCUUUGGUUCGGAACAACACAGGGAAACUUGUGCUAAUACCGAAUGUGCCCUUCGGGGGAAAGAUUUAUCGCCAUUGGAGCGGCCCGCGUUGGAUUAGCUAGUUGGUGGGGUAAAGGCCCACCAAGGCUACGAUCCAUAGCUGGUCUGAGAGGAUGAUCAGCCACACUGGGACUGAGACACGGCCCAGACUCCUACGGGAGGCAGCAGUAGGGAAUCUUGCGCAAUGGGCGAAAGCCUGACGCAGCCAUGCCGCGUGAAUGAUGAAGGUCUUAGGAUUGUAAAAUUCUUUCACCGGGGAAGAUAAUGACGGUACCCGGAGAAGAAGCCCCGGCUAACUUCGUGCCAGCAGCCGCGGUAAUACGAAGGGGGCUAGCGUUGCUCGGAAUUACUGGGCGUAAAGGGCGCGUAGGCGGACAUUUAAGUCAGAGGUGAAAGCCCAGGGCUCAACCUUGGAAUUGCCUUUGGUACUGGAUGUCUUGAGUUCGGGAGAGGUGAGUGGAAUGCCGAGUGUAGAGGUGAAAUUCGUAGAUAUUCGGCGGAACACCAGUGGCGAAGGCGACUCACUGGCCCGAUACUGACGCUGAGGCGCGAAAGCGUGGGGAGCAAACAGGAUUAGAUACCCCGGUAGUCCAA